rnacentral:rRNA from 1 species
AACGAACGCUGGCGGCAGGCCUAACACAUGCAAGUCGAGCGAGGACUUCGGUUCUAGCGGCGGACGGGUGGGUAACGCGUGGGAAUAUGCCCUUCUCUACGGAAUAGCCCUGUGAAACUUGGAUUAAUACCGUAUACGCCCUAUUGGGGAAAGAUUUAUCGGAGAAGGAUCAGCCCGCGUUGGAUUAGGUAGUUGGUGGGGUAAUGGCCUACCAAGCCGACGAUCCAUAGCUGGUUUGAGAGGAUGAUCAGCCACACUGGGACUGAGACACGGCCCAGACUCCUACGGGAGGCAGGAGUGGGGAAUCUUAGACAAUGGGGGCAACGCAGAUAUAGCCAGGCCGCGUGAGUGAUGAAGGGCUUAGGGUUGUAAAGCUCCUUCAGCUGGGAAGAUAAUGACGGUACCAGUAGAAGAAGCCCCGGCUAACUCCGU